ACGGGGGGGCACAAGCGGUGGAGCAUGUGGUUUAAUUAGAAGCAACGCGAAGAACCUUCCCAGGUCUUGACAUCCUCUGACAACCCUAGAGAUAGGGCUUCUCCUUCGGGAGCAGAGUGACAGGUGGUGCAUGGUUGUCGUCAGCUCGUGUCGUGAGAUGUUGGGUUAAGUCCCGCAACGAGCGCAACCCUUGAUCUUAGUUGCCAUCAUUUAGUUGGGCACUCUAAGGUGACUGCCGGUGACAAACCGGAGGAAGGUGGGGAUGACGUCAAAUCAUCAUGCCCCUUAUGACCUGGGCUACACACGUGUUACAAUGGACGGUACAAAGAGUUGCAAGACCGCGAGGUGGAGCUAAUCUCAUAAAACCGUU
rnacentral:rRNA from 1 species